CUGGAGCUGAAUCACCGCUCUCAGGAGCCACUUGGAAUUCAAAUUUGUGACUAGCUCCUGGGCAGUAUUGUUCAUCAAAAGCCCACUUCCCAUCCAGCACAUAUGCUCGAAGUCUUCCAUGGCAGUGAUAGCAAAGCAUGCACUCUAAAUCCAUAACAAAUCCACUGUAAGCUGCUGCUUUUCACUGAGAGAGAUGUCUGUUCACCAGCUGCGCUCAGAUGGCUGAGAGGGGUAGAUGGGAUGGGUUUUUAUAAAGCGUGCACAACCACCCACGCAGACGUGCAUGCAUACAUACAUGCAUUGAGUCUUGCAGAGUGACCUGCAUCAAAAGGGGUCCAGGACUUUUGUCCUGGAGUUUAAACAAUUCUCCCUGUUCUCUCUUUUUUUUCAUAUCUUUUCAAUGUCUGUGACCAACAUCAGUAGGAAACAGAUGUCCCUUGUUCACAAUUAACUGCAGACAAACAUGGAUUAUGGUCAGUGGUGGUCAGGAAUUUGGCUAUUUUUAUGUUCUAAUCCAAUUAGUGUUUCUGUUUAUUGUGACUAAUGUGAAAAUGAUUAGACUUCAGCUUCUGGCCCAGAGAAUGAGGGUAGUUGAUGGUACAAGAUUUAGGCUACCACGCAAAAUUUUUUAUAAUUUUCGAAACAAUGGCUCAUUGCUU